AAGUCGUAACAAGGUUUCCGUAGGUGAACCUGCGGAAGGAUCAUUAACACGUAUCCAAACGUUAAAACCCCCCCCGUGAACCUUCAUCCUGCUCUUGUAACCCGCGUAGUUCGCAAUCUCUGAUAAAUCAUAGCCCGGAAAGUUGUAGUGAUUCAGAGACCUCUGGCUACGUGCGAACAUUGGAACAGUUACAAUCGAGCGGUAGUUCUAUAGGCAAUGUUUCCCCAAGCAGUCAGUGUCGGAAAGUGUCAUUGAUUGUGCAAGGAUAGCGCUUCUACGAUUCCUGUAGACCGUACACUCGGGCAGGAGUUAAUGUGAAGCUCAAUGUAAUACAUUGGGUAAACAAACCGAACAACUGUUUACAAUGGAUAUCUUGGUUCUC
rnacentral:misc_RNA from 1 species